rnacentral:rRNA from 1 species
UGCCAGCAGCCGCGGUAAUACGGAGGGUGCAAGCGUUGCUCGGAAUCACUGGGCGUAAAGCGGACGCAGGCGGAACGUUAAGUUGGAUGUGAAAGCCCCGGGCUCAACCUGGGAACUGCAUUCAAAACUGGCGUUCUUGAGUUCAAGAGAGGGUGGUGGAAUUCCUGGUGUAGAAGUGAAAUUCGUUGAUAUCAGGAGGAACACCGGCGGCGAAGGCGGCCACCUGGCUUGAUACUGACGCUCAUGUCCCACAGCGUGGGGAGCAAACAGGGUUAGCUA